rnacentral:rRNA from 1 species
ACCAUGAGAGUUGGGAAUACCCGAAGCCUGUGAGCUAACUUUUAGAGGCAGCAGUCGAAGGUAGAAUCAAUGAUCGGGGUGAAGUCGUAACAAGGUAUC